rnacentral:siRNA from 1 species
AAGUUUGAGAGCUCGUAUCAGAU